CCUACGGGCGGCAGCAGUGAGGAAUAUUGGUCAAUGGCCGGAAGGCUGAACCAGCGAUGCCGCGUGAAGGUCAGUGCCCUAUGGGCGUUAAACUUCUGUUGUGCGGGAGCAAUAAUGGUCACGUGUGGCCAGACGAGAGUACCGUACGAAUAAGCAUCGGCUAACUCCGUGCAAGCAGCCGCGGUAAUACGGGGGAUGCAAGCGUUAUCCGGAUUAAUGGGGUUUAAAGGGUGCGUAGGCGGUGGGGUAAUUCGGCGGUGAAAUGCCCCCGCUCAACGGGGUGAAGUGCCAUUGAUACUGCCUUGCUGGAGUGCGGAUGCCGUGGGAGGAAUGUGUGGUGUAGCGGUGAAAUGCAUAGAUAUCACACAGAACACCGAUUGCGAAGGCAUCUCACGAAUCCGCGAUUGACGCUGAUGCACGAAAGCGUGGGUAUCAAACAGGAUUAGAUACCCCGGUAGUC
rnacentral:rRNA from 1 species